rnacentral:lncRNA from 1 species
UAAAUGUUAUGGUGAAAAUAGAAGAAGAAAAUAUCAACCAAGCAUAUCUAAGAUAACACCAUGAUUCAUACACACGUGUUACAUCUGGAAUUGAAUGGAACCACUAAUCUUUCAUCUUUCUCUCAAAGGGAACCUUCACUUCCUUCUCUACGCUCUCACCAAUACCAUCACCAAGUUUCCUCACACCAACAUAUGAGUGGCAUCAUCAUACUCAUCACCAAGAUCAUCAUGUGAAUCAAUGGCAUCAUCAUACUCAUCGUCUGGAUACCAACACCAAGGAUGAUAAAUAGAUAGUGAUACACUUGGCCUUAGGUCAAUAACAAAUCUCUCAUACAAAUAGGCAGGUGACUGCCGAAAACAAAAGCAAUACAAUACUAAAACUGAGAUAUAGGAAUGAACAAGGAAACAUGGAUUUUGAUAAAGACGAACCAUUUUGGUACGACAAGUAGAUAAGCGUGUAGUUAUCUACAGAGAAUAAUUUGGAUAGUCAUAUGUUGUACAAUACAUAUUAGAAAACCAGAAUAUGAUACAUUGUUUCAAAGGGAGAUGACAGCGAACACACUUGUUGAAGCUUUAUUGCUAUUUGCUAAGCUUAGUUUGCAGGAUGUGUAUACAGAAUCAACCAACCGCUUGUCUGUCGACACAAACAAAACAGAUACAUCAUCUACUACCAUACCCUUGCUAAGGUUGGAGCUUCAUUUGAAGAAGGGGAGGCCUAUAGAGAAAAAACGGGAUCAUUGUCCUUAUGCUUUAACCAAGCCCUUUUUCUGUGAAAAAAUGGAAAGUGAAAAGCUAGAUCAGCAAGCAAAGAAAGAACAAGGAAAAGAACAAGGCACAUCCAAAACAGAGAAACCCAAGGUAGGGCGCAAACCAAUGUGAUAGGAAUUUGUGAAGCUACACCAGAAGAAAUAAAUACAUGCAAGCUUCACAACAGCCCAUGGAUUUGAUAUACCGAUCAAAAAGUGGUUAUAUUUAUGCAUCCACUCACAACCAUUGGCGAGACCUAGGUACAGAACCAUCAUGACACGAAAGGGAAAACUCAAAUCUAAAAAGAAGUAACGUGAUUUGAAAAGGCAGUUAAUACCAGAGUACCACUUCUCGUACUCAAAUUGAAAAACCAGCACAACUGACUAUUACACAACCACCUGUGAGACUCACUGCACUAUUUUGUAACUAUGGGUAAGUUUAAGAUCCACCAACUUGUAACGCCAAAACAAAACGAAUUUUAGAGUACCACUUCAAGCAGAAGCAAAGGAUGGAAUCCAAAUGAGAGAAGGAAAAAUGGUGUGGACCCAAAGAGAAGAACCCUUGCAAGCAUUUCAGGGGCAAAUAAAUAUAGGCCUGGCAAAGCGGUAGAAGCCCAGCGUGCAGGAUGCACACAACAUACCUGAUGCACAAGGUCACUAUACUGAUGGCACUCGUGUUAAUAGGAGUAUCUUCAUGUGUAUGGCAUAUCCUUGUUAUGACAUCAAUAAUCAAUGACAAACGACAUAAGCUUCCUGAAAUUGAUGAUAUGAUGAAAUCAGUUUGCGUAGUACUCCCUCCGUCCGGAAAUACUUGUCGCAGAAAUGGAUGAAAAUGAAUGCAUUUAGAACAAAAAUACGUCUAGAUACAUCCAUCUCUCCGACGAGUAUUUCCGAACGGAGGGAGUACUACAGUAGGCAAUCACACCAUAACUGAAUUUAUCACAAACAGAAAACAUUGUUUGGUACUCCCUCCUUCCAAAAUUUUUGGGCAUAUUAGAUUUUACAUGCAGUCCCAUAAUGCAGGGCAUGUAGUUAGCUACGUUUUUGGAAAUAAAAAAGGCGGUCGGUCCUCUGGUGCCGUUAGCACCCAAAUCGUGCACGCCUUCCUUUUUUUCUCCAAUUGUGUAUGGCUCCCUCGUACGAUGGCUCGCGUAACUAACAGUGCGCUAAUUUUCGUGCUAAUACCUAAUACGCCCAAGAUUUUGGGAAGUAGGGAGUACUUGAUAGUGCUCCCAAGUUGGUGUAAUCAAGCAAGUACAUGGAUGAGCUCUUGCAAUAUUUUCUCUAAAAAAAUCAUAUACAAUUAUAUAAUCACGAAAAUGCAUGUUUAUCAAUAAAUCAACAUUACGUCAUACUUGUUCCUCUUGCAACUGAAUUCCAUAUGAAUUAUUCUCUUACAACAUAUCAAGGCAACAUAGUCUAUCAGGCAUAUGAGAGUGGCAUUCUCGUAAUCAACUAAGCACAAGGUUGAGCUCUUGUAAAUAUGAUAAAUUGUCAGUGACAACGUGUGAAUAUUCCAUGAGAAGCUACAACUAUUGCAUGAGGUAAUCAACUAACACAGAUACUCAGCCAUUCCAGUUAUAAAAUAUAUCUCACGAGAUCUACACUUCCACAUGCAUAUAGAAAUAUAUGUCUAACCACAGAAAAUGUACGCACCAGUUUAGCCUACACAGAGUAAUAGUAAGUUACUAACAACAAAGAAUAACAGAGUAAAAAAAGCAAGAUCUAGCGUCAACCAUUAGUCCUUAAAGGUUUAAUUACUAAACAGUAAAAAUAUAGAGUUUGAAAUGAUUUGAUAACAAGUCAGUCCAAAACAGGGGGAAAAUAUUACACUUUCACGGCAUGAUAGUCUAUGUAUACAAAAGGACCUAUUAGUUUCUAGAUAACAGAGCAUGAAUUUAAAUGAAAGAAUUAUAUGAUUCGCCUGUCACUGAAUAAAAAAGAUCACAUCUGGAUAAACACCUUAAAAUGUCUCUAAAUCAGGUCGUUUAGAGAAGAAUAAAAUCUUGCGCUACUGCAGAUAUAUUUAAUCUAGCACUGACCCUGGUCAAAACCAUGAAAAUCCUCUCAAAAUCCCCAUAUGUUGAGUUUCAGAAGUAACAAAGAAAGAGGCCUGCAAAGGCAGAAAAAUCCACAACAAAAAAACUAAUCUUCUGUACCUAACGCCAAAGAAAUAACACAAAUCAUUAGAUUAAUCAACCUUUGCCCUGAAUAACAAAGUUCAUCAGAAGCCCAUGCUGAAAAAGUGAAGAAUUCAUCUAAAAAACAAAAAAUCAAGAAUACUCAAAUAUUUGCCCAAUCAUGGUAACACAAAAAGUGCAAGCAACAUUUCAAAACAGAAAGUGCAUAUCUAGCAACCAUGGUUUUUAACUUCACGCGGAUCUACAUGUAUAAGACUGAAAAACAAAUAUAACUCCCCUUUAAAUUAUCAAAUAGCAUGGAGAGCAAUGUAACAUAUCAUACUUAUAGAUAUAGAUAAGUACGAGAAGCACCUGACUAAUGAGUUCCACGACCAUUGUUCUUGCAAUCUCUAUUUGAUUCCAAUUCCCACUAAGUCGUAUUUUUCUUUCUGUGGAAAGAUCACCUUCGGGGAGAUGAUGCGGGAUUAACUACAAAAAAGAAUAUUAUUUUUCAUUUUGAAAUGAAUAAAAACAUCCAUGCAUAUAAUCAUAGCACUAACCUGAAUGCCAGCCCCAGACUUAGUUUCUAAAGCUCAAUGGUCUCACCUCCCUCCCCAAUGAGCAUCCGAGCCUACAUAUUAUGAUAAAAGGAAAUAUAUCAGAGAUCUUAAGUAUGUUUUAUAGCCGAGAUAUUUUUUUAAGGAUGACCUUCUCAUUUGGGAGAUGAUUAAAAACAUCCAUGCAUAUAGUCAUAGCACUAUCCUGAAUGCCAGUCCCAGACUUAGUUUCUAAAAGCUCAAUGGUAUCACCUCCCUCCCCAAUGAGCAACCCAGCCUACAUAUUAUGAUAAAAGGAAAUAUAUCAGACAACUUAAGUAUGUUUUAUAGCUGAGAUAUUUCUUUAAGGAUGAC